GACAGCAGCCGCCACGGGAAUACGAAGGGGGCUAGCGUUGUUCGGAAUUACUGGGCGUAAAGCGCACGUAGGCGGAUAUUUAAGUCAGGGGUGAAAUCCCGCAGCUCAACUGCGGAACUGCCUUUGAUACUGGGUAUCUUGAGUAUGGAAGAGGUUAGUGGAAUUGCGAGUGUAGAGGUGAAAUUCGUAGAUAUUCGCAGGAACACCAGUGGCGAAGGCGGCUAACUGGUCCAUAACUGACGCUGAGGUGCGAAAGCGUGGGGAGCAAACAGGAUUAGAUACCCGGGUAGUCCCUGUCUCUUAUAA
rnacentral:rRNA from 1 species